GUGGGGAAUAUUGGACAAUGGGCGCAAGCCUGAUCCAGCAAUACCGCGUGUGUGAAGAAGGCCUGAGGGUUGUAAAGCACUUUUAAUAGGGAGGAAUACCUUAAGGUUAAUACCCUUAAGAAUGACAUUACCUAUAGAAAAAGCACCGGCUAACUCCGUGCCAGCAGCCGCGGUAAUACGGAGGGUGCAAGCGUUAAUCGGAAUUACUGGGCGUAAAGCGUGCGUAGGUGGUUUCUUAAGUCAGAUGUGAAAUACCCGGGCUUAACCUGGGAAUGGCAUUUGAUACUGGGUGACUAGAGUUUGGGAGAGGUAAGUGGAAUUUCAGGUGUAGCGGUGAAAUGCGUAGAUAUCUGAAGGAACACCAGUGGCGAAGGCGACUUACUGGCCUAAAACUGACGCUGAGGUACGAAAGCAUGGGUAGCAAACAGGAUUAGAUACCCUUGUAGUCC
rnacentral:rRNA from 1 species